AUGUUCAUCGUAGAAGACAAGGGCAGUGCCAUUGCUCUCAUGUGUGCCGCCCUCCUCUUCUUGGGCACAUGGCCGGCAUUGCUCACCCUCUUGGAGCGCAGGGGCCGGCUGCCACAGCACACGUACCUUGAUUACUCAAUCACGAACCUCCUUGCCGCGGUCCUCAUCGCGCUCACCUUGGGCCAGCUUGGGGACAGCAAGCAAAACAUGCCCAAUUUCUUCAUCCAGCUCAGUCAGGAUAACUGGCCUUCGGUGCUGUUUGCAAUGGCUGGGGGUCUCGUGCUCAGUAUUGGGAACCUUUCUACACAGUAUGCUUGGGCAUAUGUGGGUCUCUCAGUUACCGAGGUUAUCUGCGCAAGCAUGGUUGUUGUUAUAGGCACAACACUGAAUUAUUUCCUGGACAACCGCAUCAACAGGGCUGAUAUUCUUUUCACUGGAGUGGCUUGCUUCCUUGUUGCAGUCAUCCUUGGGACUGCUGUACACUCUUCCAAUGCAGCUGAUAAUGAAGAAAAACUAAGUGAAUCCACAAAUGGCUACAACCUUGGGUCAAAUGGAGGUACGGAGCCAAGCAAACAAGAUGCACUAGAGGUGGACAUAGAGAAUGGAGCUUAUGCAGAAGAGGCCACCAGAGCUGAAGCAGGAACUGCAGAAUACCUAAUUGAGCUCGAAGGGCGGCGUUCGGUUAAGGUGUUUGGAUCGAGCACCCUCAAGGGGCUUGGGCUGGUUUUCUUUGCCGGGGUCUGCCUCUCGCUCUUCUCCCCAGCACUCAACCUCGCCACCAAUGACCAGUGGCACACCCUGAAAGGCGGCGUCCCGCAUCUGGUUGUGUACACUGCCUUCUUCUACUUCUCCAUGUCGUGCUUCGUCAUCGGUGUCGGGCUCAACAUCUUGUUCCUCUACCGCCCGAUGGCCGGCGUGCCGAAGUCGUCCUUCAAGGCCUAUCUGGGUGACUGGGAAGGCAGGCAGUGGGCUCUCCUCGCCGGCUUGCUUUGUGGCUUCGGCAAUGGCUUCCAGUUCAUGGGUGGUCAGGCUGCUGGUUAUGCUGCUGCUGAUGCUGUUGAGGCAUUGCCACUUGUGAGCACAUUCUGGGGCAUCGUGCUAUUCGGGGAGUACCGCAAGUCGUCCAAGAAAACCUACACUCUGCUCGUGUUGAUGCUGCUCAUGUUUGUCGCGGCUGUAGCAACGCUCAUGGCUUCAGCAGGUCACAGGAGCACAAAGUGA
rnacentral:rRNA from 1 species